rnacentral:rRNA from 1 species
UUUAUUAUAAGUAAAAUCUGCCCAAUGAAUAAUAAAUAGCCGCAGAAUAUUAACUGUGCUAAGGUAGCAUAAUCAUUUACCUUUUAAUUAAAGGUUUGUAUGAAUGAUUUUACAAUUAAAUUAUUUUUUUAUAAAUGUUUAUUUAAAUUUUAUUAAAAAUAAAAAUAUUUUUAUAACUAAGAAAGACGACAAGACCCUAUUGAACUUUACUAAUGUUUAGCUGGGGAAGCUAAUUAAAUAUAAUUUUAAUUUUAAAUUAUAAAUAAAAUCCUAAUAUAAAUAUUUUAAACAAGUUACCAUAGGGAUAACAGCGUAAUAUAAUUUUAAAGCUCAUAUUAAAAAUUAAGAUUACGACCUCGAUGUUGAAUUAGAAUACCUAUAAAACGCAAUAGCUCAAAAGGAGGUCUGU